rnacentral:rRNA from 1 species
AGCUUGCUCCCGGAUGUUAGCGGCGGACGGGUGAGUAACACGUGGGUAACCUGCCUGUAAGACUGGGAUAACUCCGGGAAACCGGAGCUAAUACCGGAUAGUUCCUUGAACCGCAUGGUUCAAGGAUGAAAGACGGUUUCGGCUGUCACUUACAGAUGGACCCGCGGCGCAUUAGCUAGUUGGUGGGGUAAUGGCUCACCAAGGCGACGAUGCGUAGCCGACCUGAGAGGGUGAUCGGCCACACUGGGACUGAGACACGGCCCAGACUCCUACGGGAGGCAGCAGUAGGGAAUCUUCCGCAAUGGACGAAAGUCUGACGGAGCAACGCCGCGUGAGUGAUGAAGGUUUUCGGAUCGUAAAGCUCUGUUGUUAGGGAAGAACAAGUGCGAGAGUAACUGCUCGCACCUUGACGGUACCUAACCAGAAAGCCACGGCUAACUACGUGCCAGCAGCCGCGGUAAUACGUAGGUGGCAAGCGUUGUCCGGAAUUAUUGGGCGUAAAGGGCUCGCAGGCGGUUUCUUAAGUCUGAUGUGAAAGCCCCCCGCUCAACCGGGGAGGGUCAUUGGGAACUGGGAAACUUGAGUGCAGAAGAGGAGAGUGGAAUUCCACGUGUAGCGGUGAAAUGCGUAGAGAUGUGGAGGAACACCAGUGGCGAAGGCGACUCUCUGGUCUGUAACUGACGCUGAGGAGCGAAAGCGUGGGGAGCGAACAGGAUUAGAUACGGGUGGUAGUCCACGCCGUAAACGAUGAGUGCUAAGUGUUAGGGGG